UACGAAGGGUGCAAGCGUUACUCGGAAUUACUGGGCGUAAAGCGUGCGUAGGUGGUUUGUUAAGUCUGUUGUGAAAGCCCCGGGCUCAACCUGGGAAUGGCAAUGGAUACUGGCAAGCUAGAGUGCGGUAGAGGGUAGUGGAAUUCCGGUGUAGCGGUGAAAUGCGUAGAGAUCGGGAAGAACACCAGUGGCGAAGGCGGCUACCUGGACCAGCACUGACACUGAGGCACGAAAGCGUGGGGAGCAAACAGG
rnacentral:rRNA from 1 species